CAGUCGCCGCGGUAAUACGUAGGGCGCAAGCGUUAUCCGGAAUUAUUGGGCGUAAAGAGCUCGUAGGCGGUUUGUCGCGUCUGCCGUGAAAGUCCGGGGCUCAACCCCGGAUCUGCGGUGGGUACGGGCAGACUAGAGUGAUGUAGGGGAGACUGGAAUUCCUGGUGUAGCGGUGAAAUGCGCAGAUAUCAGGAGGAACACCGAUGGCGAAGGCAGGUCUCUGGGCAUUAACUGACGCUGAGGAGCGAAAGCAUGGGGAGCGAACAGGAUUAGAUACCCCUGUAGUCCCUGUCUCUUAUAA
rnacentral:rRNA from 1 species